rnacentral:lncRNA from 1 species
UCUCUUUUGGUCAAAUUUCUAUAAAUCUUCUUUGCUACUUAUGGAAUUUGGAAACUAUCCAGACUGCUAUUGAUCUAAAUAUUUUCAUCUUACAGGUCUUCCUUUGAAAUAGUGGAUGGUGACUCGGCUCUUCUGCCUGAGAGUGGUUCAAAAUGAAGGAAGACCAAAAGGUAGAAGCAACCCAACUGUCCGUGGACAGAUGGAAGGAUGGGCAGACAAGCAAAAUGUGGUCUAUCCACACAAUGGAUUAUUAUUCAGCCUUAAAAAAGGUAAUAAGUCAGGUGGAGCCAAUCUCAGGUGACUCCUGAGCUUGUGCCUGUGUCUCUCCCUGACCUUCAUCUGCUCCCCUUGGGCGAGGCCUGAAAAGUUUGACGGUUAUCUGCACCCAGAGGCAGCCUUUUCCAGCAGCCACAGUGGAGAGCUGUGAUGCUUUUACCACCUUCUUCCACAUCUCGUCCCUUUCUGCCCUCUUCAUUUAGUUUUCAAGGUGUGUAGCUUUUGGCUUCUUUAACCAAAAGUGUCUGAAUUCCCUUACCAUGUGGUGAUAGGAGGGAAGAAAGAUUUCCUCCCUUCAUCCAAAUUUACUUGGUUUUGAAAAGAAAGGUGUCUAAGCUGUGAUAUUGGAGAUGUUCUCUCCAGGCCACCAUGGGAAAAUGUAAUUCUUGGCCAAUUAACUAUAAAGGCUGAUUUCCCCAAAUCCAGAUUGGGUAGUGAUAAGUUGCUAAUACUUAUCAACUAUAAUUUUCUUUCUUUUUUUCUUGAUAAAGAACAUGAACGGGGCCAUCAAAAAAUCACAAAGAGACCAAAAGGCUCCCAUUUUUG